rnacentral:rRNA from 1 species
AUUGAACGCUGGCGGCAUGCUUUACACAUGCAAGUCGAACGGCAGCGCGGGCUUCGGCCUGGCGGCGAGUGGCGAACGGGUGAGUAAUGCAUCGGAACGUGCCCAGUAGUGGGGGAUAGCCCGGCGAAAGCCGGAUUAAUACCUCAUACGACCUGAGGGUGAAAGCGGGGGACCGAAAGGCCUCGCGCUCUUGGAGCGGCCGAUGUCGGAUUAGCUAGUUGGUGGGGUAAAGGCUUACCAAGGCGACGAUCCGUAGCUGGUCUGAGAGGACGACCAGCCACACUGGGACUGAGACACGGCCCAGACUCCUACGGGAGGCAGCAGUGGGGAAUUUUGGACAAUGGGGGCAACCCUGAUCCAGCCAUGCCGCGUGCGGGAAGAAGGCCUUCGGGUUGUAAACCGCUUUUGUUCGGGAAGAAAUCCUAUGGGCUAAUACCCCGGGGGGAUGACGGUACCGGAAGAAUAAGCACCGGCUAACUACGUG